rnacentral:sRNA from 1 species
ACCACAAGUAGUUUUACCCCAGAAUUGGAGCGUUAACAUUAUCUUAGGAGAAUCAAGGAAUUCUGAAACUACACAGAAACAGUUUGCUCUGUUUCCAGAAAAGAUUGAAUCUUUGGAAGAAGAAAUUAUCUCAAAAGGAAUUAAACUUGUGAUUCUUGACUCUGUUGCUUCUGUGGUCAGAAAGGAGUUUGAUACACAACUUCAAGGCAAUCUUAAAGAAAGAAACAAGUUCUUGGCAAGAGAAGCAUCCUCCUUGAAGUAUUUGGCUGAGGAGUUUUCAAUCCCAGUUAUCUUGACGAAUCAGGUUACAACCCAUCUGAGUGGAGCCCUGGCUUCUCAGGCAGACCUGGUGUCUCCAGCUGAUGAUUUGUCCCUGUCUGAAGGCACUUCUGGAUCCAGCUGUGUGAUAGCCGCACU